CUUUGACUCUUAAAGAAAAAUAAACAAAGGGGCUGCUCAAGAGGUUUGGCGUACGACACAGUGAUUAAUUCACUGGUUUUAAGCUUCAGACACUGUCCGUUUGGAAGCACUUCGGAAGGGAAAAGCUUUGGUGUGAGAGUUCGUGGCACCUGUUCGGCAUUGAGAGUACGAUCCAGGUUCCAGUUCUACACCCCGUGGCUGAUACGCGAUGGUGACAUCUUUCAGUCAUUCAGGGUGAGCUACUUGGUCAUCCAUGGCCCCUGAAGGACCUCAUCUAUUUAUUUCUGUUUUUGUAUUUGACAGACAAUAUGUAGCCUUCGGGUAUUUUCAGACUUCUAUUCCGUACUAUGUUAGCGCUCUUGUACCCUUUGACCAGGUUUUGGGGUUGUCGUGACAUUUCUAGUUAUGAUAAGUAUUUAAGACUUGAUAUCUUGUUCUUAUUUAAUUUUCCGCUUAUUUAACUUGUUAUUAGUAAUGUGGUUCGCCUACUCGGAGGGAUAGUAGGUGCCACCACGACUCGCGAAUUUGGGUCGUGACAAGUUUUUCUUUUUCUGUUUUGAUGUCAUUAUUUAUUUUAUUGUUGUAUGGAUUUUAUUUCAAUAGCGAGGUAAAUGGGUGGUUGAUGAAUCUUCGGACAAUUCAAGUGAUGAUGGAAGCGAAUCUGAAGAUGCCAAUAUUGCUGGCAAAACCACUGAAAGCUCUUCUAUAGAGCAUCGCAUUGAGGUAUUUUUCAUGGGUCCUCUCUGUUUUUGCUCUUAAAUUUUUGUUCUUUUUUUUUUUUUGAGUUUAACACUUUGCUAUAUUUGUUUAUUUUCACAGUUCCUGGAAAAUGUUUGUGAUGUUAAAUUGGAUAGGAUUUUGAAUAAUCAACAGCAGGAGAAGGCCCGGAUGGAUCAGCUGAUUUCUGCUCUGCAAAAAAUAGGGUUAAAUUUUGAAUCCCAAACUGCUUUUGAUGCUGAAAAUGUUCGUUGACAUGUUGAUUCUCCUCGUCAAGUUGAAAAGGGUAGGCGCAAGAGCACAAGAUCUGUUCGUAAAAGUGUUGCUGCUAAAAGGAAAACUAAACAAGCCAGGUCUCGUAAAAAUGUUGAGCAAUCUUCCGUUGGGCAACGAAGAAGAUCGGUGCAGUUUCAUGUUAGUGAAGAUAUUGCUGAUAUUGAAUAGGCAUUUUGGGAUGCUGAAACUACCACCGGAGACGAGGGGGCAACUCGUUUGGUGUUGAUUUGUCUAAUGUUGAGGCUGAAAGUAAUCAAGAAAUUCAGAUGGAAGAUGUGCAAGCCGUUUCUACUGAAAGAGCCGUUGAUGAGAUAGAGUUGGGAGGCAAAAUCCGAUUUUACAAGAGAAGAAAAUUCCCAAAACAUUACAAGAUGCAGAUGUUUCUCCUAAUCCAUGGCUUCCGGAUGGUCCUCAAUCUACAAAUGUGGCAGCUGAUAGGGACAAGGCAUUUGAAGAUGUUUUUGGAGAAGGCCAAGCAAAAGUGACAUGUCCUAUGGAGACAGAUGUUGAACAAGUUGAAUCUUUAAAUGCAACUGAAAAUGUUGAGGCUGAAUUGCCUUCGGUAAAUUUACAUUUAUACUUUGUUGUUUUCUAAACCUAAGUUG